UCCGGUUUGACACCGGCAGUCUCCCAUGAGUCCCCAGCUUCACCUGAUGGCAACUAAUAACAGGGGUUGCGCUCGUUGCGGGACUUAACCCAACACCUCACGACACGAGCUGACGACAGCCAUGCACCACCUGUAUACCGACCACAAGGGGGGCCACAUCUCUGCAGCUUUCCGGUAUAUGUCAAACCCAGGUAAGGUUCUUCGCGUUGCAUCGAAUUAAUCCACAUGCUCCGCCGCUUGUGCGGGCCCCCGUCACUUCCUUUGAGUUUUAGCCUUGCGGCCGUAGUCCCCAGGCGGGGUGCUUAAUGCGUUAGCUGCGGCACGGAAGGAGUGGAUAACCUCCCACACCUAGCACCCAUCGUUUACGGCGUGGACUAC
rnacentral:misc_RNA from 1 species